UCCUUCCUCCAAUCUCUGACCGAGAACUACUUCCCACCUCCCUCCUCCUUUCAGUUGAUACUGUUAUCCAUCCAUCCAUCCAUCCAUCCAUCUAUCCGGUAUGUAUUUUCUCCUUACUGACUUUUCCCUCCCAGGCCCGCCUGUAUCAGACUCACCUCUGACUCAGUUUCCCGCUGGAGCCAGUAGGCAAUCCUCAGGAGAACACUGCCCUCUCCCAGGCGUACCUUGACCCAGGACUCAAGGCGAAGGAAGGCUGAAGACGAGGUGUCGUUCUGUGCCUCAGCUUGUCGACGGCAAGCAGCAGCGGCGCGGCCCGGCUCUCCAAACUCGAGCUUGUCCCUUCCCCCACCCCCUCGUCUCAGGGCUCCUUCCCUCCCUCCCCCAUUGGUCUGCAAACUCAGCGCCCACGAAAUUAGGAAGGAAAAGGAAGAUCGAUGACUCCAGAUGCCGCAAACACCGUUUCCCCUCCCCCCCACCUGCCUCCUCCCGCCAGCUCCGCGGAGCUUAGCAGGUUGUCAGUGCUCUGCCUACGCCGUCCCUGCAUCUCCAUCCCAUUCAAAGCCUUAUACCUCCUCCCCUAAGUAGUCCCAAAUAGUCCGCUGGUGGUGCCCUUUCAGGUCUAAUCCCCAUCCUAAUUGCAGCAGCUGCACAUGGCCCACACCUGGGAGGAAAAUCCUCACCCCAGGCAGGGCUCUUAUCCCAAGGGUCUCCUCCACGUGUAUCUGAUGUGGUCUUGGAUGACCUCCAAGGUGCUAGCUCUGUCAAUAUUUGCCUCGGUUUCCCCAGGAGCUGCGGUGGGAGGAGGCCCUGGCCAGACAUAAAUCCACACCACCACCCCACUUCCCUACAAAGGUCUCACACAGACGCGUAUUGGAUUUCACUUUAUUUUGUUCCCUUUCCCGUCUGUUUUGGCGUUAAAUAAAUAAAUAAAAUCACUGA